rnacentral:rRNA from 1 species
GAUGAACGCUAGCUACAGGCUUAACACAUGCAAGUCGAGGGGUAACGAGAGGAAAGCUUGCUUUCCUUGUUGACGACCGGCGCACGGGUGAGUAACGCGUAUCCAACCUGCCCCCAACUAGGGAAUAACCUUGCGAAAGUAAGACUAAUACCCUAUAAUUUCCUCAGAUGUCAUCUGACGAGGAAUAAAGAUUUAUCGGUUGUGGAUGGGGAUGCGUCUGAUUAGCUUGUUGGCGGGGUAACGGCCCACCAAGGCAACGAUCAGAAGGGGUUCUGGUAGGAAGGUCCCCCACAUUGGGACUGAGACACGGUCCAAACUCCUACGGGAGGCAGCAGUGGGGAAUAUUGGUCAAUGUGCCGAAGCCUUAACCAGCCAAGUAGCGUGCAGGAUGACGGCCCUAUGGGUUGUAAACUGCUUUUAUACAGGAAUAAAGUUAGCCACGUGUGGUUAUUUGUAGGUACUGUAUGAAUAAGGACCGGCUAAUUCCGUGCCAGCCGCCGCAGUAA